CUUUUCGUUCUCGUGACAGUGACCACAGCACACUUCAGAGGCUAGCACAUAACAACCAUUUCCUGUGAAAGGCCCCUGAGGGGACCAUUAGAGGCUUUCAGAAGUCAUAAUUGAACACUUUAUGGAGGACAGUGUGCUGCUACAGACGGACUGGCCAUGAGAGCACAGGGCACCGGUGACAUUUCCAACCAGCCGUGCGGGGGGAUUUAACAGUCUAGAGAUAUUUCCACCAUUUCAGCUGUCGGACCCACUGUGGAGAGCGCUAAAGUGUGGAGGAGGAUUAACAAAUUCCCUCAACUCCUCGUCCGGAGUGAAGAGCAUUUAGGGAUUUCGCUUGCUGCAUACUGCAAGUGCACAUCCAAAAAUUGAAAUGGACUCUCAUUGCAGAAAAACAAUGUCAUCUCCAAGUUGGAAAAGACCCACCCAGUAACUCUUGUUGACAUUUUGUCCUUAAGUCCGCAGGGUUAAACGCCCUCCUGAUGAGACUCGACAAGAGCACUUCUCCAGGAAGGAAGGGAGUAUGCAAACCUGUACAGCCAUGCAGUGAAUGAUACAAAAGCUGAUUUGAUCUGGCAAGCGAGAAGCUUGUCGGAGGGCUGAUGAGCAGCUAUUAAAAUUAUUUAUGCUCUUGGCUUUCACUCGAUGUUCCGAGUCAUUAGAAAAAUGGCAUGUUGACAAAGGCUCAGUCUGAUAUUAAAUAAACAUUUUACAGUUGCCAGUGGAGUAAGAAUAUAGUGGGUGUUAACUGAACCCUCUAGGUACAAUUCCAAGUCAUUAUGCGCUUAUACACUUUUUUUUUUUGUAACAAAAGGCAAAACUAUCGAGGAAAAACUGCCCCACUGCCUUGAAAGGGACAAAAGUGAAACAAUAAAAAAAUGAAAAUAAAAUAUUAUAACAAAAAUA